GGGCGGCUGGCGCAAUGGUAGCGCGUUGCUCUCCUAUCCUAUCACGGAGCGCAAAGCAAAGGUUGCAAGUUCGAGUCUUGCGUCGCUCG
rnacentral:tRNA from 1 species